rnacentral:rRNA from 1 species
AUGCAGGCUGGGCACCCCAUAGCAUUCCUCAGUCGGGCGUUGGGACCCCGCAACCAAGGUCUCUCUACCUAUGAGAAGGAGUUCAUGGAAGUUCUUCUUGCAGUAGAGCGCUGGAGGCCGUACUUGCAAGGGAAUGAGUUCACCAUACGCAAGGAUCAGCGCAGUUUGGCCAACCUAGGUGACUAACGGCUAUCCACACCAAGGCAGAAGAAGGCGUUGACCAAGUUAAUGGGGCUGCAUUAUAAGAUUGUGUAUCGCAAAGGUGUGGAAAAUCGCGCGGCGGACGCCUUGUCCCGGGUAGAUCAUGGUGACUUGUUGGCCCUCUCGGUCACUCAACCAACUUGGUUGGAGGAUGUUGUUCAAGGAUAUCACAGUGACCCUCAUGCCAAUGACAUUCUGCAGCAGUAUACCAGAGCACCAAGUGACCAUAAUCCAUACUCUAUUGUGGGCGGUGUGAUCAGGUACAAGGGACGAGUAUGGCUGGGUUCAGAUUCUGGCGUCAGAUAG